rnacentral:rRNA from 1 species
GACGAACCACACAAACGUUAUUCGGAAUUACUGGGCUUAAAGGGUGCGUAGGCUGUGCGGAAAGUUGGGUGUGAAAUCCCUCGGCUUAACCGAGGAAUUGCGCCCAAAACUACUGUGCUCGAGGGAGGUAGAGGUGAGCGGAACUUAGGGUGGAGCGGUGAAAUGCGUUGAUAUCCUAAGGAACACCGGUGGCGAAAGCGGCUCACUGGACCUCUUCUGACGCUGAGGCACGAAAGCUAGGGUAGCAAACGGG